CUACAUUAACAUAACAUUUGAAGUUAUGUUCACAAUAUCACGUGGUAACCGAUUCCAGUCACGGAUUGUAUUGGGGA
rnacentral:lncRNA from 1 species